CAAUCUUGCCCCAAGCCCCUGGGAGGAAGACUGCCCAAUGGAAGCCAAAAGAUAAUCGAGUCUUCAUUGCCGCAUAUGAGACCGUAAUAGUCGACGGGCACCAUAAUGGGACGUGCUUCACGAAACAUGGUUGGCACACGAUUGUCCAAUUGUUUAACGCCAACUCCGGGCACGAUUGGAGUAGGCAGCAGUUGAAGAAUCACUAGGAUUAUCUUCGAGUCAAGUAUAAAUGUCUCCAGGACUUGAUAGAAUGCACCGACAUCGCAUACGACUUUGCACGCGGUUGUCUAGUCGCGUCCGAUGAGUGGUCGGUGCGAAAGAUUAAGGUACAAAGCUACUUGAAUUGCCACUUUCCAAAUUUGGAUGUCAACCAACACUCUAGUAUUCAUUUUAUAUGUGCAUGGAACUUUUAUUCAAAAUGUCGCAGUUCGAGCAUCAUCUAUGCGCUAUAGGAUUUGGUAGACUAUUAGCAAAUAAUUGCAUAACCUUCGGAUUAAAAUUUUUUUGUAAUAUCAUAUAUCAUAAAAUUCAGUUUUGUAAUUCCGUAUUUUUAUUACUUACCCCGGCUCCUGACUCGUUGUGCAUUUCUUUUUCUUCCAUUCCAAACAGGUGAACAAAGAGCACAGAAAGUUCAAAGACAAAGACUGUAGAGAGAUAUACGCGUACCGGGUUCUGUUCGACGAUGCGUUCGACAACGAGAAGUACGCAACGACGCCGAUGAAGCUGUGUAAGAUCAGGUUCGCCAUGUUCAAAGACAGUGCAAAUGACGACACAUGCAACGCAACUUUGAUGUGCAAGAAGAGCAGCGGCUCAAGUGAUGAGGACAACAAGUUAGAUAGGCUUGCAUCAAGCAUAGACGUCUCCGACUAUAGAAGUUGAGAGAAACAUAGAUCCGACGGCAAUAAAAAUAAGGAAAAGAGAACUAAAAUAUUAGCUAAGGAAUUUUCGUACUCAAUUGACAGAGCCACAAGUUCAAGUGAGAAAGUUGCGGCGAAACUUGACAACUUAGUUGGAUCCAAUGUUUCGAACACAAAGACAUGUAUGAGGAGUUGUUCGCGAUGGGCAGACUGAAAAAAAAAAGUGAACUCUACCUUUGGACUUGCAUGUUUUUGUCUUUAAAGUGGAACUGGGAUGUUCUAGAGAUACAGGACGAAAGGGCAAAAUAAAUUUUUCCCCGUUGCGGAGGGUCUCUGCAGAACUUAUCCUUUGCUUUCGUUUUUUUCGUUUUCCUCAGUGAUCGAACCGUUAACUUUAGAAUUUUGUUGUUGUGUACUUUUUAAGAUUUUUUGUCUCCAUAUAUGUACUACCAACUAUUGAGAUUUCAUGUCCAUCUCUGUCGUUUGUACUUUUGCAAUGUUCACAAAGCUG
rnacentral:lncRNA from 1 species